GCUGUCGGCGUGCUUAACACAUGCAAGUCGAACGAAGAUAUUUAAAAUGAGAGCUUCGGCAGGAUUUUUAUCUAUCUUAGUGGCGGACGGGUGAGUAACGUGUGGGCAACCUGCCCUGUACUGGGGAAUAAUCAUUGGAAACGAUGACUAAUACCGCAUGUGGUCCUCGGAAGGCAUCUUCUGAGGAAGAAAGGAUUUAUUCGGUACAGGAUGGGCCCGCAUCUGAUUAGCUAGUUGGUGAGAUAACAGCCCACCAAGGCGACGAUCAGUAGCCGACCUGAGAGGGUGAUCGGCCACAUUGGGACUGAGACACGGCCCAAACUCCUACGGGAGGCAGCAGUGGGGAAUAUUGCACAAUGGGCGAAAGCCUGAUGCAGCAACGCCGCGUGAAGGAUGAAGGGUUUCGGCUCGUAAACUUCUAUCAAUAGGGAAGAAAGAAAUGACGGUACCUAAAUAAGAAGCCCCGGCUAACUACGUGCCAGCAGCCGCGGUAAUACGUAGGGGGCAAGCGUUAUCCGGAAUUACUGGGUGUAAAGGGAGCGUAGGCGGCAUGGUAAGCCAGAUGUGAAAGCCUUGGGCUUAACCCGAGGAUUGCAUUUGGAACUAUCAAGCUAGAGUACAGGAGAGGAAAGCGGAAUUCCUAGUGUAGCGGUGAAAUGCGUAGAUAUUAGGAAGAACACCAGUGGCGAAGGGCGGCUUUCUGGACUGAAACUGACCCUGAGGCUCCAAAGCGUGGGGAGCAAACAGGAUUAGAUACCUGGGUAGUCCACGCCGUAAACGAUGAGUGCUAGGUGUCGGGGAGGAAUCCUCGGUGCCGCAGCUAACGCAAUAAGCACUCCACCUGGGGAGUACGACCGCAAGGUUGAAACUCAAAGGAAUUGACGGGGGCCCGCACAAGCGGUGGAGCAUGUGGUUUAAUUCGAAGCAACGCGAAGAACCUUACCAAGGCUUGACAUCCCGAUGACCGUCCUAGAGAUAGGACUUCUCUUCGGAGCAUCGGUGACAGGUGGUGCAUGGUUGUCGUCAGCUCGUGUCGUGAGAUGUUGGGUUAAGUCCCGCAACGAGCGCAACCCUUAUCUUCAGUAGCCAUCAUUCAGUUGGGCACUCUGGAGAGACUGCCGUGGAUAACACGGAGGAAGGUGGGGAUGACGUCAAAUCAUCAUGCCCCUUAUGUCUUGGGCUACACACGUGCUACAAUGGCUGGUAACAAAGUGACGCAAAACGGCGACGUUAAGCAAAUCACAAAAACCCAGUCCCAGUUCGGAUUGUAGUCUGCAACUCGACUACAUGAAGCUGGAAUCGCUAGUAAUCGCGAAUCAGCAUGUCGCGGUGAAUACGUUCCCGGGCCUUGUACACAUCGCCCGUCACACCAUGGGAGUUGGAAGCACCCGAAGUCGGUGACCUAACCGUAAGGAAGGAGCCGCCGAAGGUGAAGCCAGUGACUGGGGUGAAG
rnacentral:rRNA from 1 species